rnacentral:rRNA from 1 species
UACGUAGGGUCCGAGCGUUGUCCGGAAUUACUGGGCGUAAAGAGCUCGUAGGUGGUUUGUCGCGUUGUUCGUGAAAACUCACAGCUCAACUGUGGGCGUGCGGGCGAUACGGGCAGACUGGAGUACUGCAGGGGAGACUGGAAUUCCUGGUGUAGCGGUGGAAUGCGCAGAUAUCAGGAGGAACACCGGUGGCGAAGGCGGGUCUCUGGGCAGUUUCUGACACUGAGGCGCGACAGCGUGGGGAGCAAACAGG